CCACUCAUCGAUCAAGAGGUGAUUGCUUACUUCCUUGCUGGACUCGAGGGUGACUAUGAUCCUCUGAUGGCGACGGUCACUCUUCGCAAUGAUCCCAUAGUGCUCAGUGAUUUCUAUGUGCACUUCCUCAACUUUGAAG